GUCCUUAAAAGAAGAGGGAAAUAUGGACACAGACACAGACACAGAGGAAGAUGAUGUGAAGACACACAGGGAAAACAUCAUGUAAAAACAGGCUUGGAGUGGUGCACCUACAAGGCGAGGAACAUCUGAAGCUGCCAGAAGUUGUGAGAGAGGCAUGGAGUAAUUCCUUUCCUAGAACCUUCAGAGGGAGCAUGGCCCUGCCUAUACUGAUAACGAUGGUUCAACUUACAAUUUUUCAACUAUACAAUGCUUUAAAAGCAAUUCAGUAGAAACUAUACUUCAAGUAACCAUGCAACCAUUCAAUUUUUCACUUUCGCCAACACAGAAUCACAGCAUCUCAGAGUUGGAAGGAAU
rnacentral:lncRNA from 1 species